ACUGGGACUGAGACACGGCCCAGACUCCUACGGGAGGCAGCAGUGGGGAAUAUUGCACAAUGGGGGAGACCCUGAUGCAGCCAUGCCGCGUGUGUGAAGAAGGCCUUCGGGUUGUAAAGCACUUUCAGCGAGGAGGAAGGGUAAUGUGUUAAUAAGACAUUGCAUUGACGUUACUCGCAGAAGAAGCACCGGCUAACUCCGUGCCAGCAGCCGCGGUAAUACGGAGGGUGCGAGCGUUAAUCGGAAUUACUGGGCGUAAAGCGCAUGCAGGCGGUUUGUUAAGUCAGAUGUGAAAGCCCGGGGCUCAACCUCGGAACCGCAUUUGAAACUGGCAGGCUAGAGUCUUGUAGAGGGGGGUAGAAUUUCAGGUGUAGCGGUGAAAUGCGUAGAGAUCUGAAGGAAUACCAGUGGCGAAGGCGGCCCCCUGGACAAAGACUGACGCUCAGAUGCGAAAGCGUGGGUAGCAAACAGGAUUAGAUACCCUGGUAGUCCACGCCGUAAACGCUGUCUACUUGGAGGUUGAGGUUUUAGACUUUGGCUUUCGGCGCUAACGCAUUAAGUAGACCGCCUGGGGAGUACGGCCGCAAGGUUAAAACUCAAAUGAAUUGACGGGGGCCCGCACAAGCGGUGGAGCAUGUGGUUUAA
rnacentral:rRNA from 1 species